GAAAAGGGUAGAGAAUAGGAAGACCACCAGUGGGGAAGGGGAUUCUCUGGCCCGAAAUGACGCUGAGGCAUGAAAGGGUGGGUAGCAAACAGGAUUAGAUCCCCUGGUAGUCCACGCCGUAAACGAGGAAUACUAGGUGUAGGAGGGUCCACCCUUCUGUGCCGCAGUUAACACAAUAAGUAUUCCGCCUGGGAAGUACGAUCGCAAGAUUAAAACUCAAAGGAAUUGACGGGGGCCCGCACAAGCAGCGGAGCAUGUGGUUUAAUUCGAAGCAACGCGAAGAACCUUACCUAGACUUGACAUCUCCUGAAUUACUCGUAACGGAGGAAGCCCUUCGGGGCAGGAAGACAGGUGGUGCAUGGUUGUCGUCAGCUCGUGUCGUGAGAUGUUAGGUUAAGUCCUGCAACGAGCGCAACCCUUAUCAUUAGUUGCUACCAUUAAGUUGAGCACUCUAGUGAGACUGCCGUGGUUAACGCGGAGGAAGGUGGGGAUGACGUCAAAUCAUCAUGCCCCUUAUGUCUAGGGCUACACACGUGCUACAAUGGGCAGUACAGAAAGAUGCAACCUCGCGAGAGUGAGCAAAACUCUAAAACUGCCCCCAGUUCGGAUUGUAGGCUGAAACUCGCCUACAUGAAGCCGGAGUUGCUAGUAAUCGCGAAUCAGCAUGUCGCGGUGAAUACGUUCCCGGGCCUUGUACACACCGCCCGUCACACCAUGAGAGCUGGCAACACCCGAAGUCCAUAGUCUAACCGUAAGGAGGAAAUGGCCGAAGGUGGGGUUAGUGAUUGGGGUGAAGUCGUAACAAGGUAAUGGGCA
rnacentral:rRNA from 1 species